UACGAAGGGGGCUAGCGUUGCUCGGAAUCACUGGGCGUAAAGGGUGCGUAGGCGGCCAACUAAGUCAGACGUGAAAUCCCUCGGCUCAACCGGGGAACUGCGUCUGAUACUGGAUGGCUUGAAUUCGGGAGAGGGAUGCGGAAUUCCGGGUGUAGCGGUGAAAUGCGCAGAUAUCAGGAGGAACACCGGUGGCGAAGGCGGGUCUCUGGGCCGAUACUGACGCUGAGGAGCGAAAGCGUGGGGAGCGAACAGG
rnacentral:rRNA from 1 species